rnacentral:other from 13 species
GUUGACCUUACAGCAAAUAUCACAGAUUAAAAACCCUGUCAACUG